rnacentral:rRNA from 1 species
ACACUCCUACGGGAGGCAGCAGUGGGGAAUAUUGGACAAUGGGCGCAAGCCUGAUCCAGCCAUGCCGCGUGAGUGAUGAAGGCCCUAGGGUUGUAAAGCUCUUUCACCGGUGAAGAUAAUGACGGUAACCGGAGAAGAAGCCCCGGCUAACUUCGUGCCAGCAGCCGCGGUAAUACGAAGGGGGCUAGCGUUGUUCGGAUUUACUGGGCGUAAAGCGCACGUAGGCGGACUAUUAAGUCAGGGGUGAAAUCCCGGGGCUCAACCCCGGAACUGCCUUUGAUACUGGUAGUCUUGAGUUCGAGCGAGGUGAGUGGAAUUCCGAGUGUAGAGGUGAAAUUCGUAGAUAUUCGGAGGAACACCAGUGGCGAAGGCGGCUCACUGGCUCGAUACUGACGCUGAGGUGCGAAAGCGUGGGGAGCAAACAGGAUUAGAAACCCUAGUAGUCCCAUGA